rnacentral:rRNA from 1 species
UUCCUGGUGUAGCGGUGGAAUGCGCAGAUAUCAGGAGGAACACCGAUGGCGAAGGCAGAUCUCUGGGCCGCUACUGACGCUGAGGAGCGAAAGGGUGGGGAGCAAACAGGCUUAGAUACCCUGGUAGUCCACCCCGUAAACGUUGGGCGCUAGAUGUGGGGACCAUUCCACGGUUUCCGUGUCGUAGCUAACGCAUUAAGCGCCCCGCCUGGGGAGUACGGCCGCAAGGCUAAAACUCAAAGGAAUUGACGGGGGCCCGCACAAGCGGCGGAGCAUGCGGAUUAAUUCGAUGCAACGCGAAGAACCUUACCAAGGCUUGACAUAUACGAGAACGGGCCAGAAAUGGUCAACUCUUUGGACACUCGUAAACAGGUGGUGCAUGGUUGUCGUCAGCUCGUGUCGUGAGAUGUUGGGUUAAGUCCCGCAACGAGCGCAACCCUCGUUCUAUGUUGCCAGCACGUAAUGGUGGGAACUCAUGGGAUACUGCCGGGGUCAACUCGGAGGAAGGUGGGGACGACGUCAAAUCAUCAUGCCCCUUAUGUCUUGGGCUUCACGCAUGCUACAAUGGCCAGUACAAAGGGCUGCAAUACCGUAAGGUGGAGCGAAUCCCAAAAAGCUGGUCCCAGUUCGGAUUGAGGUCUGCAACUCGACCUCAUGAAGUCGGAGUCGCUAGUAAUCGCAGAUCAGCAACGCUGCGGUGAAUACGUUCCCGGGCCUUGUACACACCGCCCGUCAAGUCAUGAAAGUCGGUAACACCCGAAGCCAGUGGCCUAACCGCAAGGAUGGAGCUGUCUAAGGUG